rnacentral:lncRNA from 10 species
AACCAAAUGAAUUCCAAGAUAAAAGACAUUAAAUAAUUUUUUUAAUAUAUGUGUUAGUGGCUUUCUAACAAUAGCUACCACAUGUCAAGGAUUUAAACAUGCCACAAACUGUUCUAGUGGUAUUAUCUUAAAUUAUCUUAAUGAACCAAUAAAUGCAAUUAUUACCUCAUAUCACAGAUGAAAUGAUGUAAAAGAUGUUAGAUAACUAUUUCUUUUUUUUUUACAGUUUUGCAGUUUUUUAUGAAGUUGAACAUACACAUAUCCUAAGAGCCAGUUAUUUCGAUCUUCUUUAUCAAAGGGAAAUAAAAACAUAUUUCUUCAAAAAGACUUGUAUAUGAAUAAUCAUAGCAACUUUAUUCAUUUAUACCCUCAAUUUAAACAAUCUGAAUACUCAUAAAUAAGAAAAUGCAUACAUAAAUAAUUCUGCAUUCAUAGAAUACUAGCCAGCAAUGAAAAAUAAUGAACUACUAAUUUAUAAAAACAAUAAGAAUAUCUAAAAAACUGUGUUAAGCAAAAGAAGCUAAAGUUGCACAUUGCAUAUUAUUUCAUUUAUGUUAUAAAGUUCAAAAUUAGAUAAAACUAAGAUGUUAGAUAACUAUUUCAAGUUCAUGCAAUUUAAUGAGUGGAGAGCAGGAAAAGAAAAGGACUUGGAUUUAGAUGUUUGGCUUCUAAGUUCUUAAAUCAUUUUUAAAGUAUUCUUAUAAAGACAAUUUAUGAUAUAACUGUGAACUUCAUAUAGAAAGCUGAAAUCAACUCUUAAAAUACUGCUUUCAUUAUCUAUAGCUCCACAAAAUGGCAGUCAUCCUUGUACUUGUCCAUGCUGGUCAUUAAGGAAUGUCUUUUUUUCAGAAUUAGGACUAUGUUUCUCUUAACACAAUGCCUGUCACAUAACAAGUACUCAGUAUAUGUUGAUGGAUGAAUAAAUGAAUAGCAAUUAGAAAUCUGGUGGUUGAUGAGGGAGGCUUUGUGGGUUAUGUUUCAGAGAUUGUUUUCUAUCAAACUGUCAGUAUCAUAUUGACUUUGAGUCUGUAUCUGGUGUCUUUCAUGUUUUUAUUCUCAAUCAUCAAAAAACAUACAAUGUGGAAACAACUGACUUAAUUUUACCAAUGAAAGUAUAUUGAGAAAAUAGCUUACCCAAGUUUUGAGCAAUAAUGGUAAAUUAUUCAAAUUCUAACUCCCACUAUUAUUUUUACCAUAUCAGGUUUGCUUGCAAAGUUGAGUGAAAGAGAGACAAAGAAAAGAGAAAGUGAGAGAAGUUACAGUGUGGUUGUGGGUUUCCCCAUUAUUACCACUGUCUAGGAAUUUGUACACCUCUCAGAGAGGUGAAGCAUAGUAGGGAGUUGCAAUACAAUGACAACGAUCAACAUAUAAGCUUUAUAUUAUUUUUAUUGUACAAGUUUCAGAUCAACAAUUUUUGGAAAAAAAAAUUGUUCCUCUCUGAUUUGAAGUGAACAUUCAGAUAAGUCUCAAUUUACAAACCUCUUGGAGCCUAACAUCUUCUGGGAGGCAAAGCAUUUUCAUGCCUUCCAUAGAGUUGUUGGCCCUGAAUAUCUGUGGUGCUAUACUGUAUAACCAUGUGAAGCCUGUGCACUAGUGAAGAGAUUUGAGAUGUCUUGCAAAAGGCAUUCAGGGUUAUCCAUCUGGCAGGUGAAGUGGCAUUUAUGUGCCUAGUAUCUGUGGUGCCUUCCAUAUCUAUGCCUCAGCAUUUCAGCUCAGUAUGGGAACAAUAAGUAAGAGUUCAAUAUCUCACUGCUGCUCUUAUAGAUAUGUUGCUCUAAAAUGAAUGAAUAGCUGCUUUGAUUAAAGGCUUAAGAUGCAAGCCAUUCAGGAUGGUCAAAAUGUUUGGUCCUAUUGACAUUCUCCUGUAAACCACUCAACCAUUUGGUCAACAGAAGAGACUUCUGGGUUAGAGAAUAAUUGUGGUUGGCCAAUUGGUAAAGAGCUUUCUCAACCUUCUCCCAGGGAGUUUGUUGAACUAUUUUAAAGAAGCACAAUUGGAAAGCUUCACACAAGUGCUUCACAGAAUCAUUCUUGGAGUGUGUAAAAAUUUGGCUUAACAUCUAACAGAAAUGGCACGUUAAUGUGGAACCACUUGCCUGGAACUGAAUGCAUUUUGCUGGCAAAAAAUGGCAAACUUAUUUUGAGAAAAGAUUCACAGACCUAUGGAUGAAUGAUGAGAGCUGUUGUCCUUUUCUUUUCAAAUAAUACACUGAGUAAUUAAAAAAGAAUAUACAUUUUGAAUUGCAUUUUCAAGUAAGUUCUCUGUACUGCUCCUUUUCUUACAACCUUUUGAAAGGAAAUGACAUAUCUACUCCUAAAGAUGAUAUGUAUUUAAACAAAUCACAAAGCCAGUAUUACUCGGUUUAUGUAUAAAAUUGACAAAUGCCAGACCCAGGUCCCAUUGACUAGAAAUCAGUGUAAUGUGUGUUUCUUCAGAAUUUUUAAUUUCUUUAAUCUUGCCCUCCUCUUUGUUUGUGUAUAAGCAGAAAACCUCUUCUGAAAGCAUGUUGCUAGUUCUUUAAUAUAGUUUAAGAAUCUCUGACACAGUCAUAAAAAGCCCUUCUUCUCUCCCUUUCUGGCCAUUCAAGAACAGAAAGACAUUAUUCAGAUUCCAGAAAUAAGUAUUUUCUUAUAUAAAUUUCUUUCAAAAAGGUUUUGAGGCAGAAUGGAAAGGCAUGGAAUAAAUCAGAACAAAAUAAGAAUAGCAGAAAUAGUAAAGAGAGAUGCAAGAAGGGUUGGGAAAUUUAGUACUGUAAGCUUUUGAAAGAUGGUUAGAACUUUCAGUUCUAAUUUUGCUGAAUUUUUUCUGUGAGCUGCCCCAUAACAAAGCAAAUUUAGAAGAUCCUCAAUAUGUGUAAGCCAAAAUCAACAAGUCCGGUUGAAUAAAGGAAUGAUAAAAUUACAAAGUCACCAUUUUCUGACAGCCAAUGCAGUAACUGAUAUAGACAAGCAUUAUCGAAGGAUACUAGAAAGUAUUUCCCCUGUCUCUGAAAUACUUUUAGGGAGCAGGAUAUUAACAUGGUCUCAAAGUAUCUCUCCACAGUUUACCUAAUAAUUCCAAAGAAGAAUUUACCUUCAUAUAAAAUGAUUCACUUGGCGUAUUUAUCAAGUUCUCAGUCUUCGCCUCAUUGAUAGUGGGAAAACCCUAGCAUAUAUGCCUCCUGGUGGGAUGCAGAAAGAAGUAAACAUCUUCAUGUAGUUUUCCUACCACAAUCGUCUUAACUUGAAUCUAAUGAUGAGGAAAUCAACAAAUUCAGAAUGUGACAAGAUCUGAUUUUCUAAUUGUUAAGUAGUAAGUACCUCCAUGUCAAGGAGAACUUUUUCUGUUAUGUUUUCAUUCCACCACAACAAAUGUUUGUAAUUCACUGAUCUUAAAUCAAGCUUCAAGGAUACCUGUUACUUUGACACUAGCUUUAUUCUUAGAAGAUUGAUUUUUUCCUUCCUUAGGCUAUGCAAGCUACCUGUUUGUCUAGUCAACUGAUGGAGCACACAGGCUCCCAAACAGGUGGCAAAUUAAGUUGAUUUAGUUUUUUCUUAAAUAAUUAUUUUAACUGGUUCCAACGUGACUUUUAGAACUGACAUGGUAAUAACUAGCAUAUAGGUAGUGUUAUGCAAGAAAGGUUUUUAUCUCCUAGUGCUUGAAAAGAGUGUGUUCUUGGGAUAUAUUCCAAUAACAUGUCUUCUAUAUUAGAAAAUAAUAAGUCUUGCGAGAGGGAGUGAUGUCAAUUCUGAAUCUUCCUAGAACUGAAUGGUGUCCCCUGGUGUUUAUUCUUAUGACUUGAACUUAUUGUCCUCAAAUGGGCAAUUACUUGAUGGUAAAAUGUUAAUUGCCUCAAAUGGGCAAUUAAAAUUUUAGUCAGAAAUUUUCCAACUUUUUGUGUUUCCAUUAACAUAAAAAGGGCAGCUAAAUAGUCCUGUUGAAUUAAUGGGUCAAAGGGUAAUGGGGGAAUGAAUGUGACUAGGAAUAUGCCCAAUGAUUUUCCUCUCACUAUCUGUUAAAAAGUUUCAAUGACCUUAAUCAGAAUUCUUCAUUUGAUAGCAAUCAUUUACAAAAGACAUUAAAAAAAUACCCAUUAGAUUUCCCCUGGGGAGACAAUUUUGGAAGUUGUAAUUUUCCACUCUAAGUAUGAAUAGCUUCACCGUGGAAAGAAGUCUUCACAUGGAUAAUGACAAUAAUGCAGUUUAAUCUUUAAAGCACCCAGCCUGAAGGCCUCUUAAAUGGGAAACAGAUGUGCUGUGUAUCUUCACUUUUUACUCAGCAGCAGCGCAGACAAUUGAUAAAGAACCAGGGCCUUAGAUGGGGCUGGAGGAAGACUCUUGUCUAAUGACCUAAGCCACAAUAUUCAGCAGAGAAAAAAAUCAUGGCAAUGAUAUUGACUAAACACUUAGGAUGCACCAAGCACCUUGAUAGGCAGUUUACAUGCAUUGUUUUACUCAAAUCUGACAGUAACACUACUGUCAAUCUGGUGCUAUUGUUAUUUUUGUUCUAAAGUUGAGAAAACUGAGACUUAGGGAGUUUAAGAGUAUUACCUGAUGUCACAAAUGAUUAACAAAUAUCAGAUAAUCUUAUCUAGAAACCAUGUUCUUAAGUAAAGAAAACCACCAAAUUGUAUUUCUGUUUAUUGAGUUCUGCAGGUUGAUUUUCACACAUCAGCCUAAGCCUUUAGAAGAACCCUCAAGGGUAUGAGAGUCAUUUGUGGCAUAACUUCAACAGACAUGACAGGGCUGACUUUGAGUUGAAUUAUAAAAUUUCCAAAUGAGGAUGUCCAGGAACCAGAUAGACACGUGAGUUAGAAGCUCAGAAAGCAGGUAAGGCUGGACAUAUGGAUUUCAGAAUUGUAGCCUUUAAAAUGAAUGGUAUCUCCUGGGAUGUAGUAUGGGAAAAGAAGAGGCUAAGGACAAACCUCUGGGUGGCUAGAACAGUGUCUGGUACAUGGUAGAUCAUGAAUAAUUUUUUGUCAAAUGAUGAUGUAGAUAAAUAUGAAUCUAAAUCUAUUUUAUCUUGAAUGCUAGCUUUCUUUUUUUAGUAACCUCAUCCUCUCUCUUUUUAAAUUUAAAUUUAUUUUAUAUUUUAGAGACAAAGUCUUGUCCUGUCACCCAGACUGGAGUGCAGUGGCAAGCUGAUAACUAACUGCAGCCUCAAACUCCUUGGUUCAAGCAAUCCUCCCACCUCAGCCUCUUGAGUAGUUGAGACUACAAGCAUAAGCCACUGUGCCUGGCUAUUUUUUAUUUUUUUGUGGAGAUAGAGUUUCUGUAUGUUGCUGAGGUUGGUGUCAAACUCCUGGCCUCACACUAUCCUCAUGCCUCAGGCUCCCAAAGGGCUGAGAUUACAAGUGUGCCACAUGCUAGGAUUACAAACCACUAUGCCAGGCCUCCAUUCUGCUCCUGAACUGCACAUCAUUGCAAUACUGCUUUCAGCUGGGGUUGGAGUAAGAAAAAAGAAAUAAAAAACACAGAGAAAGACAAGAAGGAUCUAGCUGUGUUCAAUGCUGCUAAAAAUCAAGUAAGAUGGCAAGAAAAAUAUUUCUACUGGGUUUGCCAACAGGGAGGUCAUUGAAGACCUUAGCAAACAUGCUUUUGGGGGAACAAUAGAGGUAAGAGCUCACUGGAGCUGGUUGAAAGUAAUGCAAAGUACAGAAAUGUAGAUUAUAUAUCCAUUCUUUAUCAAGAAGCUUAGCUGUGAAAUAAAUCUUAGAAUUAUUAAGGCGUUAUUAUGGGUGUGGGUAAUAGAGACUGAUUUAUUCUCUAGGCCU